rnacentral:lncRNA from 1 species
CUUGUAACGAUCAGCGUUCUAAUCGUUACUAAAUUGUAUGCAACCAAUUAUACAGCGGGUCGUAUGAUAGAUUGCGUUGAUUUUGAGUAGGGUUUGAUGGAAUAUCUGGUAACAUUGAAAUUGGUAAGUUGGCAAUAUGUCAAGGAAUGUCCGCGGAACUGAUUUGACAAUGUCAAAGAUUUUCACUUGGCACUCCCUUCGAAGCCUCCGGUAAAUCGGUACUCUCCAAUGACCGGUGCUUUUUAGAAUUUGAUUUAUGUUGGAAAUUGAUUUUUUUUAGAAGAAUACGUUAAGUUAGAGGUUGUGUCUUAGUUUUGGUGAGAUUUAGGAAGAGGAGUUUCGUUGGUUUUUACAGGAGCACUGGUCAUUGGAGAAGAAAAAGAUGAGUCCAAUUUGUCUUUAGUUUUUCUGUAAAUGGAGAAGUAAUAAUUUGGAAUUUUUGGUCAAUUUUUGUUGGAUAUGUGUAUGGAGUUUAUGUUAAGUUUUUGGUACUACUAAGGAUCUCCUCGUCGAGACAAGUACAUUCCACCCCUAAGGUUGGGAAAUCCAGAGGAUCUUUCUUGGGUUUCCAAUCGUCACCCUGUAGGAGGUUGGAAACGAAUCACACCGUCGCUUGUGAAGAAGCAACAGGUCUUUAUAAAUAAAUUUGCCUUUCAAUUUGUUCUAAUAAUAUUUUUCCAAUUUUCUAUUUUGUUUUUUUUUUUUCGUGUUAAUAACAUAUAAAUAAUUCUAAUAAUAAUAUAUCGUCAUUUUUUUCCUUAAAACAUAAUUAACAUAUAUGAUAUUCCAGAUUUUUCAACUAAUUUUAUAUUUCACUAUUAUAUCCCUCAUUUACAAUAGUCUGGGGAUUAUAAACUUACUGUGAAGAUAUUGUGCACAUUAUCUGAAGUUUGUUUCCCUUAUUUAAAACAUUUAUUUCAUGUGUCAGGUAUUAUACUCAGGUUUGUCACCACCGAACAAAUACGAGAUUGUCAACCAAUACUGUAAUCUUCAUUAAUAAUAAAUUUCGUUAAGUAUACCUACCUAUUUGAAUCAAUCAACUGUAUAGAUUUAAUAAAUUCACUACAUAGUUUUUUUCUUACUGUAAAACCUUUGUGAUCGACAGGAGUGUACUCGUCUAGUACGUUAGAUGGUUAGCUAGUUUGUAUAAAAUUGUAUAUAGGGGUUAUAGGUAUUUUUUUUUCAUUAAACUUGUUGGUUGUACGUACUUAUGUUUUAUUAUCCUACCAUUUAAUAGUAUUGGUUAGGUACAGCAAUGUAAGUCACUCGGCGAAGAAUUAAUAAAAUCCUUCCCUGGCGCUCAACACUACUUCUGAAUAUCUUCUUGGUCAAUAGUUCUUUUCCUUUUCAUUUCUUUCCUUAUUUUAAUUUAGUUUCUUAACACUCCAGUACUUCAUUAGGUACCGUCUUAUUUCGGGCGUGCAAAUACGGCCUGAUCCUCCCCUGAGUUCA